rnacentral:lncRNA from 1 species
GAUGCAAAAUCAGUAAUAUGGGUCCACCGUCAACCCCGACGACGCCCGACAAUCUGAAACAGCCUAAAUCCUGCUGUAAAAAUAAACUCGGCCUCUCAGCACGAGUGUAAAAAUAUUCUACACUAUCCUGAGUUUCCACCGUCUGCAAACUGCGGCGAUACAAAUAAACUACGGCUCUUAGAGCUAAAUCUGGUAGUUUAAGCAUAUGACAGUGUGAAAUCGCCGGUUUUCUCCUAAGUCAUAUCCAAGUCCAACAUGUAUUAUUUAACUAAUAUG